ensembl:snRNA U1 U1 spliceosomal RNA
CUUGUCAUCCAGCUGUUAUGGUUAAUAAUGGAUAGUUUUCUCUGGGUGAGGCUUAUCCAUUGCACACCUGAUGUGCUGACCCCUGCGAUUUCCCCAAAUGUAGGAAAGUUGCCCGCAUAAUUUGUGGUAAUGGGGGACUGUGUGUUCCUGCUUUUCCCUG